UACGAAGGGUGCAAGCGUUACUCGGAAUUACUGGGCGUAAAGCGUGCGUAGGCGGUUUGUUAAGUCCGCUGUGAAAGCCCUGGGCUCAACCUGGGAAUUGCAGUGGAUACUGGCAAGCUAGAGUGCGGUAGAGGAUGGUGGAAUUCCCGGUGUAGCGGUGAAAUGCGUAGAGAUCGGGAGGAACACCGAUGGCGAAGGCAGCCCCCUGGGCCAACACUGACGCUCAGGCACGAAAGCGUGGGGAGCAAACAGG
rnacentral:rRNA from 1 species